GGUGCCGUGGCAGAGUGGUCUAUUGCGUGAGAUUGCUAUUCUCAUUCCUUCGGGAGCACAGGUUCGAAUCCUGUCGGCAUCG